rnacentral:rRNA from 1 species
AAUGUGUUUCGAGGCUACUACCAUCGUUCCUGUGCCGAAGAAGUCUGCAGUGUCCUGCCUCAACAACAACUACUCCAUUAUGUUAACACCAAUCAUGAAGUGUUCUGAGAGGCACAUGAGGCAUAUGAAGACCCUCCUGCCCCACUCACUGGGCACCCUGCAGUUUGCGUAACAUCCCAACCACUCAAGAGAUGAUGCCAUCUCCACCACCUUCCAUCUGGCCCCCACCCACUUGAACAAAAAGGACAUCUAUGGCCGAUUACUGUUCAUAGACUUUGGUUCUGCAUUUAACGCUAUCAUUCCUCAGCACCUGAUUGGAAAGCUGAGUCUGCUGGGCUUGAAUACCUCCUUCUUUAACUGGAUCCUGCACUUCUUAACUGGGAAACCUCAGUCAGUCCAGAUUGGAAACACCAGACUGGAAACACCCCAGGGCUAUGUGCUCAGUCCACUGCUGUUCACCCUGCUGACACAUGACUGUGCAGUGAUGCACAGCUCAAAUCAUAUUAAGUCUACUGAUGACACCCAUUGCCGUCAUGUCAUUAGCAGAAAUGAUGAGUCAACAUACAGAGAAAGUGCAGCAGCUAACAGACUGGUGCAGAGACAACAACCUGUCUCUGAAUGUGGACAAAACAAAAGAGAUGGUUGUUGACUUCAGGAAGGCACGGUGCAAUCCUCUUACUAAGAAACUUGUACCCAAAUAGAACAUAGUUGUCAUACGGAAGGCCCUUUAAUAUGAAGGACUGUAGGAGAUGCAACGAUGCCAUCAAGACAGUCGCAUACAUAUCAGGCUGGUGUUCAUGUGAAAAAUAUGCGCAUUAAAAAGACACAACAGAAUGGUGGAGGAACUAACUAAAUACGUUAAAACUAAAGGAUGGACCACAUAUGUUGAACCUCGUAUAAAGGACGAUACAGGAAAGCUCUGGAUCCCAGAUAUUAUACUUUAAUACGACUGUAUCUUUUUUAUUGUUGUGGAUGUUACAAUUCGAACAGAAAACCAAGAAAAUUCAUUAGAGCACGCUUGGGAGGAGAAAGUGGAGAAAUAUAAACAUCUAGAGAAAGAAAUUAUGGACUCUAUUAAAAGGAACCAAUAUUUCUCUUUACGGAUUUGUGAUGGGGUCCAGAGGUAAAUGGUUCAAUAAGAACAACGACCUGAUGAAAGAUCUCAGGAUCGAAAAGUAAAAGUCACUUGCUCAAAACAUCAUAAAUCUGGUUAUUAUCCUGACUCUCGAGCUGCUCAGAAUUUUUAUGGAUUCAUAAUGGACUCUUUUAGUUUCUCUAUUUUGGACAUAAUUUGAUUAAUUUUAAAAUUAAUUGUUUUUAAUGUUAAUUUUAGGUAGAAUUCUACCUUAUUUUAGAACUUAGAAUUUUAAAUUUUAUAAUAAUUUUAGUCAUAAAAGGUUCUGUUUUUUAAUUCACAGUAAUGGUGGAGGGGAGUUUAGGGUGAAUAAAAUUAAAAUUGCACUUGCCAACACAACAGGUGAUGAGCUAGCGAGGUAACUAACCGGUCAGUUGAAUAAUCCUAGCUCCAUCCUCACUUGGUCUCUGCUUUACAGUAAUAGUUCCCAUUCCCUUAUCAUCAUCUGGCUGUGGUUAGCUCGACAGGAGUAUCUUUUACGUCGAAGAGAAAAAACUCAAAAUGGACCCAAUCCAUUCAGAUGGUGAGUGCGAGAAUAGCCAAAUGCCUCCUCAUCUAAUUAGUGACGGUUGAAUGGAUGAGCGAGAUUCCCACUGUCCCUACCUACUAUCUAGCGAAACCACAGCCAAGGGAACAGGCUUGGUAGAAUUAGAAGGAAAAUAAGACACUACUGAGUUUGACUCUAGUCUGGCACUGUGAAGAGACAUGAGAGGUGUAGAAUAAGUGGGAGGCAUCGACCGCCAGUGAAAUACCACUACUUUAUCGUUUUUUCACUUAUCCGGGGAGGCGUGCCCUGAGGGGCUCUCACUUCGGGUCGGAAGUGCCUGGGCGGCCGGGCGCGACCCGCUCCGGGGACAGUGGCAGGUGAGGAGAUUGACUGGGGCGGUACACCUGUCACACCGUAAUGCAGGUGUCCUAAGGAGAGCUCAGGGAGGACAGAAACCUCCCGUGGAGCAGAAGGGCAAAAGCUCGCUUGAUCUUGAUUUUCAGUACAAGUACAGACCGUGAAAGUGGGGCCUCACGAUCCUUCUGACCUUUUGGGUUUUAAGCAGGAAGUGUCAGAAAAGUUACCACAGGGAUAACUGGCUUGUGGUGGCCAAGCGUUCAUAGCGAUGUCACUGUUUGAUCCUUCGAUGUCGGCUCUUCCUGUCAUUGUGAAGCAGAAUUCACCAAGCGUUGGAUUGUUCACCCACUCAUAGGGAACGUGAGCUGGGUUGAGACCGUAGUGAGACAAGUUAGUUUUACCCUACUGAUGUUGUGUUGUUGCAAUAGUAAUCCUGCUCAGUACAAGAGAAACCGCAGAUUCAGACAUUUCGUGUAUGUGUUUGGCUGAGGAGUCAAUGGUGCGAAGCUACCCUCUGUGGGAUUAUGACUGCACGCCUCGAAGUCAGAAUCCCACCUAAAUGUAACGAUACCCGAGUGCCAUGGAUUACUGGUUGGCCUAAGAUAACAGACUCCUGUCAGUGCAGACAUUGACAGCUUCCCCCGUGGAGAUACUGAAGAGCAUGAAAUUUUUGGCAUCCAUCUGACAGAGAAUCUCACCUGUUCCCUCAACACCAGCUCCAUAACCAAGAAAGCCGAGCAGUAUCUCCAGGUUUUCCUCAACUUAUGCAGAAACAGAUCUCCCAUUCUCACCACAUCCUACAGAGGGUCCAUUGAGAGUACCCUGAGCAGCUGCAUCACUGCCUGGUU